UGAAAAAUAUACGUAAAAAUGUUUGUCAUGCAGGAAGAAAAAGUAAGUCUAGCAUAUAUGUGUAAAAAUUAUAAAGUUACAUAAUCAUAUAAAAAAUAAACUUAUUAAUCAACAAACAUUUAUUGAGAGCCUAAGAAUAGCCAUCUUUUAUGAGCAUUAAUAUGCCAGGCAGUGUGGUAGGCAUAUCACACACAUUACCUCUAACUCUUUACAACAACUCCAAUACAGAUAUUACUAUCCCCACUCUCAGAGAAGGAAACAGAGACGUUAAGCAAUCUGCCUGUAGUCUGACAGCUAGUAAGCAUCUAAGCUUAGAAACCAGAUUUUCCUCCAAAAUCCCAUCCUUGUAACUAACCAUUACACAAUAGUGUCUCGUGAGUAUGUGUCAGUGAGAUUAUGUGUCAGGCUCUAGGGUUAGAAACAUGGCUCCUGCUCCCAAGGACUUUAAGGUUUAGUCACUAGACUUCAGUGGGAAGAACAGGAAAGUAAAGAUGUGUAAAAUGCAGUGUGGUAAGGGAUAUGGCAGACUCUAAAGGUAUGCCAAGUAGAAAAGGAAACUGCAAUCUGGGGGUAUGUGUUUUAAAGUUAGAAGGAGGUGAGUGAGGAUGGUCUGAACCAAAUCAAGAUUGAAGAGUAAAGGUGAAUUGAGAGAAGCUUUCCAGGCAGAGGGAGUACAGUGUGCAAAGAUGGAGGAUGCACCAAGUUCCAGAAUCAGUAGUACUGACUGGUUCAGUGUACGGCUGGAGCAGAAAUCUCAAGGGUAGGAAAUGUGAGAGAUAGACACUGGGUGUAGAUCACUUAUGAAGAGCUUUGCAGACCAUGUACAAGAGUCUGGCUAGUCACAGUCAUGCACAUAUUUUUCUCAGGAGUGAUUUGUAUUUUAAAAACAUCUUUCUGGUGGUAGUGUAGGAGAAGUAGGCUACUUAGAAGGUUAUUAUGGUAAUCAGGUAAGAGGAAAUGGGGGCCUGCUAAGGUGGAGAAUAGAAGGAAAACAGCACAUUAGAUAUGUUUUGGCAAAAAUAGGUGGGAGGCAGCAAUGGAGAUGAAGAAAUAAUCCAUGACUUGCAGGUUCCUGUCAUGGGCACACUUUGAUGGUGCCAUUUAUCUAGAGAAUAAACACAAGCCUGGAAGUAUGUUUUGGUUCUAUUUAUUUAUUUUUUUGGUGGUGGGGAGGGAGGAGAGGUGGCAUUAAGUUCACUUUCAGACAGUGCUUGUUUUGAGAUACCUAGGGGUAUUUCAACACAUAUAAACAUGAACAUUUUCACCGUAUACUCUUCCUAAUGUUAACAUCUGCAUCCUCUAGAUCAGCACUGUCUGAUGGAACUUUCUGUGAUUAUAGAAAUGUUUUGUGUUUUGUGCUGUCCAAUAUGGUAGCCGCUAGCCAUAUACAGUUACUGUGCACUUGAAAUGUGGCUUGCAAAACUGAGGAACUGAUUUUUAAAUUUUACUUAAUUUUAAUUAAUUCAAAUGUAAUAUAGCCACACAUGGCUAGAGGUUACCAUAUUGGACAGCAUAGCUCUCAACAUUUUUUCUAUCAAGGGAAAAUUAUAACAUGUGCUAGACACAAUUCGCAAAGUUUACCCAAUACAUUACUAGUAGGACUAAAAAUAUAAUCCAUUUUUCCUAAUUCCUAGUCCUAUCACUUAAUGGUUAAAUUUCAUUUCUAAUAUUAUAUAUUAAAUCUCAGUUGUGAAGCAACUUGCUCCAAGGGAUAGAGAAAAGAUUUUAAAUGGUAAACUCCAACUUGGGAACUGAAGUUUUAUUUUUAGUUAUUAGUGUGUCUUGGUGAAGAAGCAUAAACAAACAUCUAAAGAAAAUACAAAAUAUAUUCAUGGUGUUAAUAACUUUUUCCUAUUAUAGCUUGUAGUAGGCAGAAUACUGGCUCCUCAGAUGUCUACAUCGUCAUUGCCAGAACAUGUGAAUAUGUUACCUUACAUGGCAAAGGGACUUUGCAGAUGUAAUUAAGAAUCUUAGAUGGGGAAAUUACACUGAAUUAUCUGGAGGGGCCCAAUGUAAUCACAGGGUCCUUAUAAGUAAACGUGAGCAGGAAGAAAGUCAGAGUCGAGUAACAUGAUGUGAGAAAGUCCCUGCCAUUGCUCUCUGAAGGUGGAAGGGGCCACAAGCCAAGAAAUGCACCCUCAAGGAGCUAGAAAAGACAAGAACGUGGUUUGUCUCCUAGAGCCUCCACAAAGGACCACAGUUUUGCUGACUACUUGAUUUUAGCCCAGUGAGAACCACUUUCGACUUCUGAUACUCAGAAUUUCUGGAACCCAGAUGAAGUCAUCAAUUAAAAAAAAAACACUCUAAUUAAAAAACCUCAUUAAUUCAAAAUACAGGAGAGAGAAGAAUAUAACUCAAUCAGUACUUAAUUCUCAUUUAAUUCUUAGUAAGUACUCAGCAACAGGCUACUGAAGGUGACAGCAGCUCCUAUGAAUAAAUGGAAAGACUAAAUAAUGGAACUUUUAAUAUCAAUAGCAUAUAUAUUAAAUAAACCAAGACAUAAAAAUGAUUAUCAAGAAAUAAAACAAACUCAGUUAAUGACAGUUAUAUUUUGCAAUAACCUAUCAUAUACUAUGAACUCAAAAAUAUCCUAACUUCUUUUACACAAGAAACAGGUAUUCCAUGUUCGAGUCACCAUAAAUUUUAAACGUUUUAUCAUAAAAGUAGUUUCUAAUGGAAUUUGUUUUGGGGAAAUAAAAAAAAAAAAAGGGCCCUAAACAUGUGGCAAAAGAGCUCUCAAAUCAGACUAAGUAAAGCACAAAAGCAAAAAAUUAGAAUUAUGCAAACUUCCUUGUUUUGUCUGGAGAAAAUAUGGUCCAAGAUACAGCUUAGACUCUGAAUGGACAAACAUGGGUUCAAAUUCUAGCCCUUCACCUAUUAGAUGUAAGAUUUCCAACAAAUUAUUUAACCUCUCUGACACUCAGUUUUUCACUGUAGAAUGCAGGUGACAACAGCUAACCACAGACGGCAGCCAUGAGUACCAAAGUGAGGUCAUAUACAGACAAGCGAAUGCAGGGGGAAAACUGAAAUGUCACUUUGGGGCUGCUUCCACUUCUUGGCUAUUAUGAAUAAUGCUGCUAUGAACACGGG
rnacentral:lncRNA from 1 species